GAUGAACGCUGGCGGCGUGCUUAACACAUGCAAGUCGAACGGAGUGCCUUAGAAAGAGGAUUCGUCCAAUUGAUAAGGUUACUUAGUGGCGGACGGGUGAGUAACGCGUGAGGAACCUGCCUCGGAGUGGGGAAUAACAGACCGAAAGGCCUGCUAAUACCGCAUGAUGCAGUUGGACCGCAUGGUCCUGACUGCCAAAGAUUUAUCGCUCUGAGAUGGCCUCGCGUCUGAUUAGCUUGUUGGCGGGGUAAUGGCCCACCAAGGCGACGAUCAGUAGCCGGACUGAGAGGUUGGCCGGCCACAUUGGGACUGAGACACGGCCCAGACUCCUACGGGAGGCAGCAGUGGGGAAUAUUGGGCAAUGGGCGCAAGCCUGACCCAGCAACGCCGCGUGAAGGAAGAAGGCUUUCGGGUUGUAAACUUCUUUUCUCAGGGACGAACAAAUGACGGUACCUGA
rnacentral:rRNA from 1 species